UAGAAUGUCUGAUUGACUGAAUAAGGAUGAGGGGAUAGUGGCAGCGAGGAAGGAAGAAUAAGUGAAGUUUGAAGGUUGACGCAAAGCAAGAAAAACAUUGAUGGCAUGCAAAGACAAGUAAAUAAUGUAAGGUGAGCUAAGAUCGACACACAGCAGAAAAGGAAAAAUGACGAUGGACGACGAUAGCUCUAUAUAUGUUGGGGGUCUCCCUUACGACAUCACCGACGAAACCAUUCGCACUGUCUUCAAUUUGUAUGGUGCCAUUCUCGAUGUGAAGAUUAUCAACGACCAACGCGGUAGGGGGAAGUGCUAUUGUUUUGUUACUUUCACGAAUCCUAGGUCAGCGAUCGACGCCAUCAACGACAUGAAUGGCAGAACCAUUGACGGGCGUGUGGUUAAAGUUAAUGGGGUGAGGUCUCGUGGGGGCAGGUCAAACUUUGGCAGAGAACGGUAUUACUAUCAUAAUGAUGAGAGGAAUGGAGAUUGGGAUCGUGGGAGAGAUCGAGACAGAGAUUAUGAUCAUGAUAAUAGUGGUAGGGAUGGAUACAGGAAUCGGAACAAUGAUUGGAGUCGGGACCGUGAUAGGUCUCGAGACCGAGACCAGGAUAGGGAUAGAAGAUUUGAGCAUAUGCAUGACUAUGAUGAAGAUAGAGAUCCUAUGUUAGAUAAUGACUGGGGUAGAGAGGAUGAUAGAGUUGAAAAUGAUCAAGAACAUAGCAGGGGGGAUGGUGGAGAUGUGGAUAGAGACCACAACUUGGAUUUUAAUGCAGACAGGAAAACGGAUAGGUCAAGUGACCCUGAUAGAAGUUUUGACGAGGAUAGAAAAGAUCAGUCAAGGAGAAACAAUGACUUGAAUGUUACAAAUCAACAUAGCAUGGAUCUUUCAUCAGAGUCAACUGGUGCCGAUGAUGAUCAGGUAGAAGCUCAAUUAGAGAGCUCAACUAAGCAGUUUGAUCAACUCAAAAAAGAGGUUUCUCAAAUGGAAGAGGGAUUAGAAGAGAAAAGGGUCCAUGUUAAGGAAUUGCAAAAGCAAUCUAAGAAACUGGAGGAUGCACUGGUCAAUGCUAAGAAAAACACUUCAUAUCGUCAGAUGCAGUUGAUAAAGCUUCAUAAAUGUUUUCUGCAAGUGAAAGAUUACACAGAAAGACUUAAAACUAGUGAAAAGGAACUUCAGUUGAUAAGCAUUCAAACACUUGUGGACCCACUCUCAAAAGCCAGUCAGUGAGGGGAAAUAACCGAACACUGAAAUAUUGCAUUGUGCACCCAUACUUCUCCAAUUUGAGACUCAGGCACUCCGCUCUAAUUGAUUCAGUAUUGUUAGAGAUUGAUGGUGAUGGCGUUGGAUUCAAGGAUGGACAACUAACAAAUGGAAGUCUUGAUGCUAGAUAGUAUUCUAUAUUUGGAAAUUUCAGAUCGUGUCACUGAUGCUUAAAAUGGGUUUAGCACACAUAGUACCUUGUCUGAUAUGAAGAAAAAAUGGCUGGAUAAGUCAAUGAAUCUCUUCUAUUUUUAUUUUUCUGAUUCAACUACCCUACCUUUUACUAAAUAGCAUCAAUAGAGUUUUGCUUAUACUGUUUAGUUGUUGGUUAACUUGGUCAUAAUUAUGGAUUCACCUGUUAUAAAUUCACAGGAUAAACAAAUUGCAUGUGGUGUACCUUUUGGACUUGUAUUAGGUCAGAGAAUUCAGUGUUAUCCUUUGUUCAUUGUCAUCUCUAUUUAACCUAAUGUCUGAUCCUUUCUGUCCUCAUGAAUAAUCCCUUUAGUAGAAAUAUUCCUUUGAUAUUA